rnacentral:rRNA from 1 species
CCUACGGGUGGCAGCAGUGGGGAAUAUUGGACAAUGGGGGCAACCCUGAUCCAGCCAUGCCGCGUGUGUGAAGAAGGCCCUCGGGUUGUAAAGCACUUUCAGUGAGGAAGAACGCCUGGUGGUUAAUACCCAUCAGGAAAGACAUCACUCACAGAAGAAGCACCGGCUAACUCCGUGCCAGCAGCCGCGGUAAUACGGAGGGUGCGAGCGUUAAUCGGAAUUACUGGGCGUAAAGCGCGCGUAGGUGGCUUGAUAAGCCGGUUGUGAAAGCCCCGGGCUCAACCUGGGAACGGCAUCCGGAACUGUCAAGCUAGAGUGCAGGGGAGGAAGGUAGAAUUCCCGGUGUAGCGGUGAAAUGCGUAGAGAUCGGGAGGAAUACCAGUGGCGAAGGCGGCCUUCUGGACUGACACUGACACUGAGGUGCGAAAGCGUGGGUAGCAAACAGGAUUAGAUACCCUAGUAGUC